rnacentral:pre_miRNA from 1 species
GCCAUGUGACUUGUGGGCUUCCCUUUGUCAUCCUUUGCCUGGGGCUCUGAGUGGGGCAGGGACAGCAAAGGGGUGCUCAGUUGUCACCUC